CUCCCCUGAGCCUCAACACAAGAUGAAGGGUCGAUUCCUUCUGAAUAUUGUAAUCGGCUAAUGUCCUUCCAUCUUCCAACUGCUUGCCAGCAAAAAUCAACCUUUGCUGAUCUGGUGGGAUACCCUCUUUGUCCUGAAUCUUUGCCUUAACGUUGUCAAUGGUGUCGGAGCUUUCCACCUCAAGGGUAAUAGUCUUGCCAGUCAAGGUCUUCACAAAGAUUUGCAUCCCACCGCGAAGACGAAGGACCAAGUGAAGGGUUGACUCCUUCUGGAUGUUGUAAUCAGCAAGGGUCCGGCCGUCCUCAAGCUGCUUUCCGGCAAAGAUCAAUCUUUGCUGGUCUGGGGGAAUGCCUUCCUUGUCCUGGAUCUUGGCUUUAACGUUGUCAAUAGUGUCGGAGCUUUCAACCUCAAGGGUGAUGGUCUUUCCGGUCAAAGUCUUCACGAAAAUUUGCAUUCCACCACGAAGACGGAGCACCAAGUGAAGGGUUGAUUCCUUCUGGAUGUUGUAAUCAGCAAGGGUCCGGCCGUCCUCAAGCUGC